rnacentral:rRNA from 1 species
UACGGGGGGAGCAAACGUUGUUCGGAAUCCCUGGGCGUAAAGGGCGUGUAGGCGGCUGAAUAAGUGGGAUGUUAAAUCCCCCGGCUCAACCGGGGACCUGCAUCUCAUACUGUUCAGCUCGAGCACAUCAGAGGAGACUGGAAUUCCCGGUGUAGCGGUGAAAUGCGUAGAGAUGCGGAGGAACACCGAUGGCGAAGGCAGCCCCCUGGGCUGACACUGACGCUCAGGCACGAAAGCGUGGGGAGCAAACAGG